rnacentral:rRNA from 1 species
GAUGAACGCUGGCGGCGUGCCUAAUACAUGCAAGUCGAGCGAACGGACGAGAAGCUUGCUUCUCUGAUGUUAGCGGCGGACGGGUAAGUAACACGUGGAUAACCUACCUAUAAGACUGGGAUAACUUCGGGAAACCGGAGCUAAUACCGGAUAAUAUUUUGAACCGCAUGGUUCAAAAGUGAAAGACGGUCUUGCUGUCACUUAUAGAUGGAUCCGCGCUGCAUUAGCUAGUUGGUAAGGUAACGGCUUACCAGGGCAACGAUGCAUAGCCGACCUGAGAGGGUGAUCGGCCACACUGGAACUGAGACACGGUCCAGACUCCUACGGGAGGCAGCAGUAGGGAAUCUUCCGCAAUGGGCGAAAGCCUGACGGAGCAACGCCGCGUGAGUGAUGAAGGUCUUCGGAUCGUAAAACUCUGUUAUUAGGGAAGAACAUAUGUGUAAGUAACUGUGCACAUCUUGACGGUACCUAAUCAGAAAGCCACGGCUAACUACGUG